rnacentral:tRNA from 1 species
GGGACCUGUAGCGCAGGGGUAGUCGCGCCGCCCUGUCAAGGCGGAGGAUGCCGGUUCGAGUCCGGUCGGGUCCCACC